ACGAUACACACACUACUGUAUACAUGCUGUUUAUAUAUACAGUAUAUAUUUACGUAUUAAUCAAUUUUGAUUAUAUGAGCAAUUUUAAAACUAUAAAAUCUAUCCAAACGCUCAAAUUUAAAUACGUAACUGAUGUGUGGGUGUGGAUGGAUUGCGUGUUUAGUCAUUCAAGAUGUUACUUGGCAGAAGGAAGCUCGAUGAGAAGAGGAAAGGGUAUGGACGGAAGGGGCGUCAUUUUCAAGAAUUACUUUUCAGAUAUAACAAGAACUAUGUAGCUGUUCGAAAAUUUGGUGAAUCUGUGUAAUUAUGGCCUACUUUCAGAUUUAUUACAUUGUUGCUUUUUUAACAGGGUUCUUGUUAAACUUUUCAAAAUGUUGUACAUCCGACUCGAAAAAACUCCACGUUUGUCUUAAUAUUUAUUUAGAGAGAGAUUAUCCUCUGGUUGAUGCAAUAUUGAAAGCGCAAAGGAAGUCUGCAGAAUCUAGAGGAGGAGGUCUAGGCAUACUGGAGGGUCCAGAUUUAUAUUCCAUAUGCGAGUGAGUUGUUUUUCGUUGAUUUUAAAUUAAUCUAGAUUAUAAAUGGUUGUUUUCUAUAAACUUUAUAUCAUUUUAGAAAAAUUGACUCGCUGCAAUCAUGUUUUGCGGAAGUUGCUGAAGAAUGCGUCACUUAUUGGCACAUUUAUAGAUUUGAUAGAAUGAUGAGAAGUCUUUUAGCUCUGUAUAAUCUUCUUUGUGCCAACUCCAGAGAAGGUUUAAAAGGUAAAUUAUAGGUGAUAAGUUAGAAAUUUUUAUUAUUAUGCACGGUCCCUUUGGGAAACGCUGAAUACUUUAUUUUAGAAUGAUGGAAAAAGCAGGAAAAACUGAAC
rnacentral:lncRNA from 1 species